GACGAACCGUGCGAACGUUGUUCGGAAUCACUGGGCUUAAAGGGCGCGUAGGCGGGCUCACAAGUCAGGGGUGAAAUCCCACGGCUCAACCGUGGAAGUGCUUUUGAUACUGUGGGUCUUGAGGGAGGUAGGGGCGUGCGGAACUUCCGGUGGAGCGGUGAAAUGCGUAGAGAUCGGGAGGAACACCAGUGGCGAAGGCGGCUACCUGGACCAGCACUGACACUGAAGCACGAAAGCGUGGGGAGCAAACAGG
rnacentral:rRNA from 1 species